rnacentral:tRNA from 1 species
AAAGAAUUAGUUAAAUUAUAACCUAAACUUGUCAAGUUUAAAUCAAUACUAAUAUUAUUCUUUU